CUCUCUCCACAGCGUUCCAAUGGCCAGAGUCUACAGAAUCUCUCUCCACAGCAGGUUCCAAUGGCCAGAGUCUACAGAAUCUCUCUCCACAGCAGGUUCCAAUGGCCAGAGUCUACAGAAUCUCUCUCCACAGCGUUCCAAUGGCCAGAGUCUACAGAAUCUCUCUCCACAGCGUUCCAAUGGCCAGAGUCUACAGAAUCUCUCUCCACAGCAGGUUCCAAUGGCCAGAGUCUACAGAAUCUCUCUCCACAGCAGGUUCCAAUGGCCAGUAUCUACAGAAUCUCUCUCCACAGCAGGUUCCAAUGGCCAGUAUCUACAGAAUCUCUCUCCACAGCGUUCCAAUGGCCAGAGUCUACAGAAUCUCUCUCCACAGCGUUCCAAUGGCCAGAGUCUACAGAAUCUCUCUCCACAGCGUUCCAAUGGCCAGUAUCUACAGAACCACUAAAGAUUGUUUACGAUACGCCAGCCUUCAUCUUAAAUGGACAUGUUUGGUCUCAGUGAUAUUCCUCGUGGUCACAACAUAAAAGCUACUGCUUAAAGAAAUCCUUCAUGUCAUUAUUUGUUGCGUGUACAAUGGCGCCAUGAAAGCAUGUGAUAAAUUUGACUCUGAACUGAAAUUCAGUCAAUCAACAGUGUUAACAAAAUUUGUUGAAAUAUUUUUCAUUAUGGAAGUUUGGUCAUUGCAGCCAACUAGCAUAGAACAUUAGAAACAUUGAGUACGUUUACAUGCACACAAAUAAUGUGAUAUUUAAUUUUUUAUUUUAUUUAACUAGGCAAGUCAGUUAAGAACAAAUUCUUAUUUACAAUGACGACCUACUGGGGAACAGUGGGUUAACUGCCUUGUUCAGGGGGCAGAACGACAGAUUUUUACCUUGUCAGCUCAGGGAUUCAAUCCAGCAACCUUUCAGUUACUGGCAACAACGGUCUAACCACUAGGCUACCU
rnacentral:lncRNA from 1 species